UUUAUUUUAAAAAUGUAUUAUAAAAAAACCUCCUCCCCCCCCCCCAUUACACAUACUGCCCCACAAACACUAUCCCCAUACACACACACUGCCCCCCUGUAAUGGGGCAGUGUGUGUAAUGGGGGGGGGGGAGGCUUUUUAAUAAUAAUUAAUAAAAAAAAAAAUUUAAUAAAAUAAAUAUGUCCCCCCUCCCUUCUUACCUUUAUUGAGCAGGAGGGGGGACAU
rnacentral:sRNA from 1 species